rnacentral:rRNA from 1 species
GACGAAGGGGGCUAGCGUUGUUCGGAAUUACUGGGCGUAAAGCGCGUGUAGGCGGUUAUCCAAGUCGGGUGUGAAAGGCCUUGAGCUACAACUCAAGAAAUGCACUCGGUACUGGGUGACUAGAGGACCGGAGAGGAUAGUGGAAUUCCCAGUGUAGUGGUGAAAUAACGUAGAGAUUGGGAAGAACACCAGUGGGCGAAGGCGGCUAUCUGGGACGGUU